rnacentral:rRNA from 1 species
ACGUAGGUGGCAAGCGUUGUCCGGAAUUACUGGGCGUAAAGGGCGUGUAGGCGGUAAAUUAAGUCAGACGUGAAAACUCAGGGCUUAACCUUGAGACUGCGUUUGAAACUGAUAGACUAGAGGAUCGGAGAGGGCAGUGGAAUUCCCAGUGUAGCGGUGAAAUGCGUAGAUAUUGGGAGGAACACCAGUGGCGAAGGCGACUGCCUGGACGACACCUGACGCUGAGGCGCGAAAGCCAGGGGAGCAAACG